rnacentral:rRNA from 1 species
GCAAGUCGAACGGCAGCACGUUAGUACUCUUCGGAGUGUUAAUGGUGGCGAGUGGCGGACGGGUGAGUAAUACGUAGGAAUCUGCCCUAGAGUGGAGGAUAACCCGAGGAAACUCGGGCUAAUACUGCAUACAUUCUACGGAGCAAAGCUGGGGAUCUUCGGACCUGGCGCUUUAGGAUGAGCCUACGUCGGAUUAGCUUGUUGGUGAGGUAAUGGCUCACCAAGGCUACGAUCCGUAGCUGGUCUGAGAGGACGAGC